ensembl:lncRNA
AAUCGCACGCGGGUGCGGCCCAAACAACCGUACUGAGACCUAGCUGAAGAUUUGUAAUGGUUUUAUUGGUUAUAAUGGGGACUGUAUUGGUUUUACUGGGAACUGUAAUGGACCCUGUUGACCUCUGUUGGUCACCUUCAAUUGGUGGCUUGUUGAAACCAAUAAAUCCUAAUGGAAUAUGUCCCAUAACACACUACAAAUACAUUUUUAAUGAUUAGAAGUUAAUGGUUUGUAAUGUUUGUAUGGCAUUUGUAGUGGAAACCAUUAAUUAAUUAAUUAAUUAAUUUUUUUUUUUUUGAUGGUUCUAUUGUUUUUUUUUUCAGCUGGUGAAAGGGAACCAGACCAAACAAGAAAUAUCAACAUUGUAUUUGGUCCGGAAAAAAGCAAGUGAACUAGCGGAAAUUCCUUCCAAACUUUUCUUUACAGUCAUGGUUACCAUUUACUUCCGCAGCAAGGAUAAGAAUUUAAUUUUGGGGUGAACACAGGAGUCACUAUUGAAAUGUAAAGGGUUCUGCUAUGUGGUAUUAUGCAUGGGACUGUAUUUCUGCACAUUACAGUCAUUUUAAUGGUUUGAUAACAAGCUCCAUAACUAUCUCGUGAGCAACCCUUAUCAGACCGGAGCCUGGGAAAUCUCAAGCUUCAACGUCAAAAUGUCUUGCCAAUUCCGCCUGUGGAGGUUAUUUAUGAGCGGGUAAACACUGUUUCAGCACUGUAAAACAUCCAUCCGCGGCGCUUCGCACCAAUCUCGCGAUGCCACGAGCCUCGCUCACUCAGCUGUAUGGUGAGAGUUUUCCUCCUCUCGCGAGAUCAGAAGAGUUUCCCACGCCUGUUGUUGUGGUGUCUGCCCUCUUCUUUCACUCACCCUGCCCCCCCUCCUCUGUCCUCGUCACCCGCCCCCUUUCUCUCUUUCCCUCGCUCCUUCAGUCUCCAGUCUGCUUCUGUUGUCUCGGCGGCUGGAAGGGUCUGGGAGAGUGGAUCUCGCGAGUCUUGGAGUUUUGGUGAGAGUUUGUGGAAGAUGGCGCCUGUUGUGACAGGUAUUUCGAAACCUGAAUUGUCUGAUUGAACAAGCAGUCCUCUGAACUUUCAUGCCAAAACAACUGCAGAAGUUUGGGGAGCGCCCUCAACCACAGCGCCUGACGAGGUACGUUUAUCACCUUCACAUGCUAAUAACAAACAAACAAGCUGAGAAAGGCCUCUCUCUGGUACGGCCUACAUUUCUGCAUGCAAAACUUGUGUAUUACAUGACUUACAGUGGCAACAGCGGAACUAUCCGCACAUGGGUUUCACUUUAAAACAAAGUUUGACAUUUUUGAAGAAAAAUGCUGCAGUUAUUGUUUAAAAAUGGUGAAAAAUUAGAAAUGUUUUAACAUAAUGUUACAUGUAAUUCUACUGUGAAAUACUUUCAAAAGUAAAAAUUAUGAUUUACCACAUAAUUCAUGAUGUGAAACAGUAAACGGACAUUCCCAGAAGUCCCUGCACGUCACAUUACAUAUGAUUACAUUUUAUUCAAAUGGUUUUGUUUUGUCGUAUUUUUUUAUUAGUAAUGUGCAUUAGCGCAUUUCAUGUUACAUUUUAGUAUGUUUUAUUUGAUUGUUCAUAUAUUUAAUAUAUAUUUACAAUUUUCAGGCAUCAGUAUGUCAUACCUGAAACAUUGUCACCAUAUUUUUAUGGUACAUUUUUGGCUAACAUGAAAUUUAACAGGAAAAUGUUAUUUUUACAUUAUAUAAAUUAUUCAGUUUGCGCUUUCUGGCAAGUAUAAUCAUAUAUUAUAUUAUAUUAUAUUAUAUUAUAUUAUAUUAUUAAAGUAAUUUCGACAGAAAUAUACUGUGUGUGUGUGUGAGUAGUUGUUGUUAUCAAUAUUUUAAAGUUUUGCACUUUAAUUGGAAAUCUCAUUUGUAGGCUACAUGUCAUCUCACAUAAGUGACUAGAAAAACUGUGAAACUUUGUGAAAAUAGACUUCCGACACCACUGAAAAAUUAAGCUGCAUAUAAAUAAGAUGUGACUGUGAUUUCUAAUGUAGUUAACAGGAUUUUUUUUUUUUAAUUAAUUCUUCUAUGUUGGAAAAUACAGAAAACUUAAACCUAUAUUUCCUUUCCUCUAAAAUCUGGCCGUGUUACAGUUUAUUUAAUGGUCAGUCUGAAAAUAAAAGUACUGUUGGCCUAGGACA